rnacentral:rRNA from 1 species
GAUGAACGCUGGCGGCGUGCCUAAUACAUGCAAGUCGAGCGAACAGAUGAGGAGCUUGCUCCUCUGACGUUAGCGGCGGACGGGUGAGUAACACGUGGAUAACCUACCUAUAAGACUGGGAUAACUUCGGGAAACCGGAGCUAAUACCGGAUAAUAUAUUGAACCGCAUGGUUCAAUAGUGAAAGACGGUUUUGCUGUCACUUAUAGAUGGAUCCGCGCCGCAUUAGCUAGUUGGUAAGGUAACGGCUUACCAAGGCAACGUUGCGUAGCCGACCUGAGAGGGUGAUCGGCCACACUGGAUCUGAGACACGGUCCAGACUCCUACGGGAGGCAGCAGUAGGGAAUCUUCCGCAAUGGGCGAAAGCCUGACGGAGCAACGCCGCGUGAGUGAUGAAGGUCUUCGGAUCGUAAAACUCUGUUAUUAGGGAAGAACAAAUGUGUAAGUAACUAUGCACGUCUUGACGGUACCUAAUCAGAAAGCCACGGCUAACUACGUG